AGCCCUCACGGGUGCAUCUCGCGAUUCUUUAACUAAGUCGACAACAGUCCACGAACAAUCAUACGAACGUCCAGUAUAGAGUGAUCUUCCGGGACCAUGUGCUCCGUGAAGAAACGCGACGACGAACGGAGCUUGAUGCGCAUGAGACGAGGAACGACUCUGCUGCGCCAAGGUAAGUCCAAACGGUUCCAACGAGCCGGAGCCGCGAUACGGAGUGAGGGUACCGGCAAGGUCGAGUCCAGUCUCAGUGUUUGGCAGCGCCGCCUGGCGACGAAACUGAGAUCAGCGGCAACGUCGCCAAGGGGGCGGACUCUAGCUUACGUGAGGCCACUCCUACGCCACCCCACUCGUUGCGCGAUACGUGGGUUCCACCCCUUUUGCGUCUCGCGCGCUGUGAAUGCCGUGAUGAAACGUUCACUCCCGACGAACGGAUUUGCUUGAGAAGGGCAGAAGAAAGACCAAGGGAGAAAGAAGCCGGCGCCGCUGUACCUCGCAUUGUCGUAACCUCUAGGCGUAAUGCUUAAAUCCUUCACCCCUUUGCUAAAAAAAAACAACGCAAAGGUGUGAAAGACGAACUCCGGACCAAGAGGGAGAGAAAGAAACCGUAGAUAUCCCGUCAUAAAGAGAAACCGGUUUUGUUACAACGUAGACGGAAACCGUCGCUCUCUGAUCAGAAAUUCCUGAUGCGAUGCCACAGUGUCCCGAUGAUGGAAUCCGCGAAAACAGCGCUUGCAGAUCCCGCUUGACCCGCGCCAUCAUCGUUGCUCACAGUCGCCUUAUUCUACGGCGCGAUUAAGCAGAGUGUUUACAGAGGAAAUCGACCAACGCUAUGGAAUGCAGAAAAACACGUCGACGAAGUGAGCUGUCGACGCCGUGGCGCUCGUGCAUAGGAUGCACUCCUAGAUAACUCCUUGAGAUCCUGUCAUAUCAAUUGUAUAUUUAAAUUCUAUUGCAAGACGCGAAUCAUUGGUGUGAAAAGUCUUCUCGAGAGAGGAAUGACAUUCUAUCCAAACUGCGUCAUAGCAGCAAGUAGAAAUGCGUAAUGAUGUGUUGAAUAGCAUCAACUAAGGAAGUACAAUACAAAA